rnacentral:rRNA from 1 species
GUGGGGAAUAUUGGACAAUGGGGGAAACCCUGAUCCAGCCAUGCCGCGUGGAUGAAGAAGGCCCUAGGGUUGUAAAGUCCUUUCGCCGCUGAAGAUAAUGACGGUAAGCGGAGAAGAAGCCCCGGCUAAUUUCGUGCCAGCAGCCGCGGUAAUACGAAAGGGGCUAGCGUUGUUCGGAAUUACUGGGCGUAAAGCGCACGUAGGCGGCCUUGUAAGUUGGGGGUGAAAUCCCCGGGCUCAACCCGGGAACUGCCUUCAAGACUGCAAAGCUAGAGGAUGCGAGAGGUUGGCGGAAUUCCGAGUGUAGAGGUGAAAUUCGUAGAUAUUCGGAAGAACACCAGUGGCGAAGGCGGCCAACUGGCGCAUUUCUGACGCUGAGGUGCGAAAGCGUGGGGAGCAAACAGGAUUAGAUACCCCAGUAGUCC